rnacentral:rRNA from 1 species
GACGAACGCUGGCGGCGUGCCUAAUACAUGCAAGUCGAACGCAGUGGGGAAGGGAGAGUAACCCGCGGGUAACCUCCCAUCAGAGGGGAUACGACUUGGAAACAGGUGCUAUUCCGAUACUUUUGGCUGGUCGCUCGGGGCAUUAGCUAGUUGGUGAGGUAACGGCUCACCACGGCUACGGUUCAUAGACGGGCUGAGGGGUUGAUCGGCCACACUGGGACUGAGACACGGCCCAGACUCCUACGGGAGGCAGCAGUGGGGAAUCUUGGGCAAUGGACGAAAGUCUGACGGAGCAAUGCCGCGUGUGUGAAGAAGGUUUUCGGAUCGUAAAGUACUUUUAUUAGAGAAGCGGUAGCUAAAGAGAAAGCCACGGCUAACUACGUGCCAGCAGCCGCGGUAAUAG